rnacentral:tRNA from 1 species
GCGUAGGCGGGCGGUCGGGAUCGCUGCCGGGCGCCGACGGCGCCCGCGGCGCCGGCGUGGGUUGCGCAUCCACGUCGACGCG